rnacentral:rRNA from 1 species
UACGUAGGGUGCAAGCGUUAAUCGGAAUUACUGGGCGUAAAGCGUACGCAGGCGGCUAUGUAAGACAGGUGUGAAAUCCCCGGGCUUAACCUGGGAACUGCAUUUGUGACUGCAUAGCUAGAGUCUGUCAGAGGGGGGUGGAAUUCCACGUGUAGCAGUGAAAUGCGUAGAUAUGCGGAGGAACACCGAUGGCGAAGGCAAUCCCCUGGGCCUGCACUGACGCUCAUGCACGAAAGCGUGGGGAGCAAACAGG